ensembl:lncRNA
GUUUGGAGUGGUUGUCCACCAUGCUGGAGGAGUCGUCGAUGGCCAGGCAGAUCUGGUACUCCCUCUUGCUGGGCUUGGUUCUCCGGAGCCAGAUCUUGUCCUUGCGGAACUGACUGGCGAUGUAAGGGAUGACCUUCCUCAUGUUCAGACGCUUACCGGUCCGGUAGUCCCCCCUGUGGAGCGCAGCAUUAGAGCAGGGCAUCAACUAGUAACCAACUAGUUACCAACCCCCCUGUGGAGACCAGCAUUAGAGCAGUAGUAUCAACUAGUUACCAACUAGUUACCAACCCCCCUGUGGAGACCAGCGCAGAAUUAGAGCAGUAGUACCAACUAGUUACCAACUAGUAACCAACUAGUGACCAACUAGUUACCAACCCCCCUGUGGAGCGCAGCAUUAGAGCAGUAUGACCAACUAGUUACUAACCCCCUUGUGUAGACCAGCGCAGCAUUAGAGCAGGAGCAUCAACUAGUUACCAACUAGUUACCAACCCCCCUGUGGAGACCAGCAUUAGAGCAGGAGCAUCAACUAGUUACCAACCAGUGACCAACUAGUUACCAACCCCCAUGUGGAGCGCAGCAUUAGAGCAGGAGCAUCAACUAGUUACCAACUAGUAACCAACUAGUUACCAACCCCCCUGUGGAGACCAGC